AGCCUGUUGAAACAACCACUUUAAACAACCUGUGUCUUUUUUUUAUUUUUUCAGCUAUACUAACUCGUUUCAGAUCUGAAAUAACAAAAAGUAUUGCCCAGAAAGAGAAGGAANNNNNNNNNNNNNNNNNNNNNNNNNNNNNNNNNNNNNNNNNNNNNNNNNNNNNNNNNNNNNNNNNNNNNNNNNNNNNNNNNNNNNNNNNNNNNNNNNNNNAUGAAAAGGAUGUCCCAUCAAGUUGGGAGGGAGGGAGGGGGGAGAAUCCAAAUAGUAUUUUUGUGGGGAAAUAUCUAAUAUACUUUCUGCCAACUUGACACAAGUCCUGGAUUAAAAAAAAAAAAAAGUAAAAUAGAUGGAUGUCUGAAAGUACAGCACAUCUUUUGUAUCUGAACUGCUGUAAAUGCACUCCACCAAUGUAUCAAAAUCUUCUUUUUGUUCUGUAAUGGGGUUUGGGAGUGAUGCGUUUGAUUCUGCCCACUGGGUUUGUGCCAAGGCAAUCAGAUCUUUAUGAAAGCAGUAUUUUCUGUGGUUUUUUUAUUUACAGCCUUUCUUAUUUUGAUAUUUUUUUUAUGCAGUGGAUGAAUGCCAACUUUCAGACAAAACCCACUUAGCUGUCCACAUAUUUCUCAAUGCCAAUCCUCCAAUUCUUCCUCUCCAAAUAUUUUUUGGGAGUAAAAAGCAUUCUCAUCCUACUUAGCCUUCCUAGAUUUCUCAUGACGAGUUAAUGCAUGUCCGUGGUUGGGUGCACCUGUAGUUCUGUUUAUUGGUCAGUGGAAAUGAAAAGUCUGCGUUCAUUGCAGUUCCAGUUUCUCUUCCAUUCUGUGUCACAGACACCAACACACACUCAUUGGAAAACAAAUGAAAAAAACAAAAUGUACAAUGGAUGCAUUGAAAUUAUAUGUAAUUGUAUAAAUGAGAUCACAUACAGUAUUGCAGAGGAGGAGGCAGAGUACAAGAAAUGUAAAUGAGGACAAAUACUGCUCUUCUCUAAAAACAACACUUACGAUGACUGGAAGGUUAUUGAAGGUUGGACUCUUGAGGUCCCUUCUAAUGCCUGUGAUUUUGUGAUUAUGUGAUUCUCUGACAUCCAGGUCUAGCAGAAAGAUAUGUCCCCCAUUGCAGUCACUUUUAGAGAAAGGAUCCAUAUUUGAAAGCUAUUGAUAUAUUUUUUUUCUUUUUUUUCUGUAAUGCUUAUGUUUCUGAGACUUAAUCCAAGCAAAUUUGGAUUACAAAUAUGUGAACAUGUAUUUUGGUGUACUCAAUGGCAUUUUGUGACAGAUUAGAAAAGUCUUACCCCAGUAGUAUGUAAAAAUGUAAAAUAAAACAAACUAUGGUGUCAUUGAAGAACAAGAUCAUAGCUACUAUCCUGUAAUGUAAUAAUUAUACUUCCAAUAAGAAUGUGAGGAAGGGACAGAAGCUUUAGUCACAGUUAAAAGGGGACUGUCAGAAGAUUGUAGUCAGUAUGUAAGGCCAGGAUGGUGACUUUUGGAGCACUAUUUUGUGGGGGUAUGGAGAUGAGGUCCCAUCUGAGUGUCUGAAUAAGGCAACACAUGUUGCAGGCCAGUAAGACUAUGCAGAAAGAACAGGAUUUUUGCCUGCAUCUGAAAGCAUGGAGAAAGUUGCAAUCUGCUAUUCUUUUCCCUUUCACUCCAUAUCUCCCACCUUGAUAUUUGUUUCUUUCUACUGCUCUAGCCAUACCCUUAAGAAUUAAUUUCUCUUCCCUGAGUUAUGCUCUAGGCGUUGAAGUAAUAUUUUCCUGUAGUGACCAAAGUAUUCAAUGAAGAGGAAUAUGUGACACAUCCCAGAUGCUUUCCAGAGAAUUCCUGUACUUCUGGACAGGCACCACUUUCAGCCUUCUCCUUAGAAACAUCUUGUAGUAAACAAAGGCGUGAAAGAGCAAUGGCCCUGUUCACAUGAAGAGAUCACUUUAUAAGCAACUUCUGGCUGCCAUGUUCUCCGCCAGGCCUGGGCUGGCUGUGUGGGCGAGGGCAGCCAUGUGCCUUGGCCUAGUCAGGCCUACCUGUGGUGGGCUUCAGGGCUGCCUCUCGCCUGAAGAGGCCACGGAACUGCUGCAGGAAGACUAAAGAUCUGAGAAGAAAUAUUGGCCAGGAGUUACAUGGAUAUAGGUAUUGGUCCCUGAAGGUGAGGGAAGCUUUGUUAAAGACUUAGAAAUUUUCCAUGGUUCCACGAUGACUUCAAAUUGCUCCAGUGAAAACUCUCUCCCUUCAGGUAAAUAAGUAAGAGUUAAACUAUGUCUGCUUUCAUGGAAUAAUAAUUCACUUUAGAUUGCCUUCAGCGGGUUUAAGGGCAGUAGAAGGUACAGUUCAGUCUCAAAUAAAUCCCCUGGUGCUGUAUUUCAAUAGCAGCAUACUGUUACUCUGGAGUAUUCCCUUUUAAAACAUUUUUUGAAGUGUUGGCUGAGUGCUCAGAAUAAAAUGUUUCUCUCCCUCCCCCUCACAUGAUCUGAUUUAGCCAUUCUUUUGUCUUUCAGACCAUCAAUAAGCAAAGCUGUUUACUUUUUCCUGUAUGCAUCAAUCAAACUACUAAUGAGAAACAAUAGCCUGUGUUUUGGUCACAGUCUUCUCUUGGAUAUAUAUUUGUAGUGCUUCAGUUCAUGUCUCAGCCUGCAAUAAGCAGGUAAUAUAUUGCUGUUUCUACUGGGCAACAUUAUCAGCUGUUAUAAAUAGUCUUGGGGAUAUGUAGACAUCCAGCAGUGGUGAGAAUUUUCUAAUCUUUCUGGGCUUUAGUUAGAAGUGCAAUUCACAAUGGAUUUCUGAUGAAAAGUGCUAAUAACCCUGCAAACUCUCAGAGUGCUGCCUGUGCAAAACUGGAUGAGGCUUUCUUUUAAGAAGUACAUCUGCUGAUGUGGCAGAAUUGGACCAGCAAAUUGUAGUGAUCAACUGGAUAAAAAUGACCUGGAAAAUCCCUGCCCCAUGUACAUGCUGACUGCUGAGCAAUCAUUGCUAUUCUGUGCUUUUUCCUUUGUGUUGGCAUGUGCAUAACUAUGCUAGUACUGGGUUAAUUUAUAGCUGAGGUAGGUGUAGGAGAAGCCACAAAAUGUUAAGCUCCUUUUUCCCUUGUAAGAGAGAAUUAUUUUCUAACACUUUUAUUUUUGGCACAGGGAGGGAAUGUUGAGGUUAGAGACUUGAAGCUCAAUCAGACUUUCUUAAGUCCGUGUGUAUUUCCACACAACACCAGAAAUUGCUUAUAAGUGACUCAGCCGUGUGCACAAGAGUAAUUAGAUCCAUUUGAAACUCAGAAACUGAGAAUUCUAAGGGUACUUUCAAAGCCGUUAAAGUCGAAAACUGAGAUGUGUUCAUCUCAUUCUUUGCUUUUUCUUGGCUCCUGGCCUAAAACUCAGCACAAACUAUUUGCAAAACUGCUGGGCUUUAUUUCUAUAGUCUUGGAAAUCACCAUUGUUUCUAUCUCCCUACACCCCUCCAGUUUUAGUUUGGCCAAGUUAAUACAAAGUUCAAUGAACUGAAAGACCAGACUGUGUGUACGACUUGCCAUGAUUUUAGCCAGAGUAAUUAUCCUGCUCAAAUAAUCAUUAACACUAUUAAAGUGGAGGAAGAAAGAAAAUAAAAGAUUUGUUCAUCUGGAGCAACUUCAUCGAGGCAAGAUGCUUGAGCUUUUUUUCUGUUGUUAAAACUGGAGCUGAGAAAUUUGCUGUGACCUUCCAC
ensembl:lncRNA